CGCCUGGUGGUGGAGCUGGGAACACGCUCGGUCACAGCUCGGUUCUAGAAGACAAUUCAGACGAGUUAUUGAAGUCCGAGAGGCCGCAGGUUCAAAUCCUGCCCAGGCAA